rnacentral:pre_miRNA from 1 species
ACCUUGGCUUUAGACUGCUUACUGCUUUAAACAGUCUCACAGUCACAGUAACAGUCUACAGUCAUGGCU